rnacentral:rRNA from 1 species
AUUGAACGCUGGCGGCAGGCCUAACACAUGCAAGUCGAGCGAGCGGCGGACGGGUGAGUAAUGCCUGGGAAUUGCCCAGUCGAGGGGGAUAACAGUUGGAAACGACUGCUAAUACCGCAUACGACUGGAUUUCCCAGGUGUGAUUAGCUAGUUGGUGAGGUAAUGGCUCACCAAGGCGACGAUCCCUAGCUGGUCUGAGGGGGUGAUCAGCCACACUGGGACGGAGACACGUCCCAGACGCCUACGGGAGGCAGCAGUGGGGAAUAUUGCACAAUGGGGGAAACCCUGAUGCAGCCAUGCCGCGUGUGUGAAGAAGGCCUUCGGGUUGUAAAGCCCUUUCAGCGAGGAUGCGUUACUCGCAGAAGAAGCAACGGCUAACUCCGUGCCAGCAGCCGCGGUAAUAC